ACUGGUUGAUCCUGCCAGUAGUCAUAUGCUUGUCUUAAAGAUUAAGCCAUGCAGGUGUAAGAUCAUAUCUAUGAAUGGUGAAUCCGCGAAUGGCUCAUUAAAUCAGUUAUAAUUUAAUAGGAUGUGAUUCGUUAAUUGGAUAACUGUGGUAAUUCUAGAGCUAAUACAUGCAUAUACGGCUGAACUUUGUUUGGCUGUGCUUUUAUUAGUGCAAACCAGGCCUUCGGGCUGCAAAAUGGUGACUCUGAAUAACUUUGCUGAGCAUUUGGACCUUGUGUCAGUGCUAUUCCUUUAAAGUAUCUGCUCUAUCAACUGUCGAUGGUAUAUUAUAUGUUUACCAUGGUUGUAACGGGUAACGGGGAAUUAGGGUUCGAUUCCGGAGAGGGAGCCUGAGAAACGGCUACCACAUCUAAGGAAGGCAGCGGGCGCGCAAAUUACCCAAUCCCGGCUCGGGGAGGUAGUGACAAAAAAUAACAAUGCGGGACUCUUAUGAGGCUUCGUAAUUGGAAUGAGUACAUUCUAAAUCCUUUAACGAGGAACUAUUGGAGGGCAAGUCUGGUGCCAGCAGCCGCGGUAAUUCCAGCUCCAAUAGCGUAUAUUAAAGUUGUUGCGUCUAAAAAGCUCGUAGUUUGAAAACUUGCCUUGGCUUACAACAGACGUCUAAGGGCGUCACCGUUUGUCGAGAGCAAAUAUGGGUGACUGUUCUUGCCUUCUUCACUGAUUGGCUCGUAAAAGUCAUCGAAGAUCACUUUGAUUAAAUUAGGGUGCUCAAAGCAAGUGUGCUACUUGAAUAUGAAUGCAUGGAAUGAUGGAAUAUGUUGUAGUUCUACUUGUUGGUUUUUUGAAUGACGAAAUGAUUGAAAGGAACUGUUGGGGGCAUUCGUAUUGUUGUGAGAGAGGUGAAAUUCUUAGACCAUAGCAAGACGAACUACUGCGAAAGCAUUUGCCAAGAAUGUUUUCAUUGAUCAAGAACGAAAGUUAGAGGUUCGAAGGCGAUCAGAUACCGCCCUAGUUCUAACCAUAAACUAUGCCGACUAGCAAUUUGCUUUGUAUUUUUAUGACUAAGUGAGAGGCCACGGGAAACCAAAGUAGGGUUAUGGGGGAAGUAUGGUUGCAAAGCUGAAACUUAAAGGAAUUGACGGAAGGGCACCACCAGGAGUGGAGCCUGCGGCUUAAUUUGACCCAACACGGGAAAACUUACCUGGUCCUGACACUAGAAGGAUUGACAGAUUGAUAGCUCUUUCUUGAUUUGGUGGAUGGUGGUGCAUGGCCGUUCUUAGUUGGUGGAGUGAUUUGUCUGGUUAAUUCCGAUAACGAACGAGACUCCAGCCUAUUAAAUAAUAUGCGUAA
rnacentral:rRNA from 1 species